GAUGAACGCUGGCGGCGUGCCUAAUACAUGCAAGUCGAGCGAACAGACGAGGAGCUUGCUCCUCUGACGUUAGCGGCGGACGGGUGAGUAACACGUGGAUAACCUACCUAUAAGACUGGGAUAACUUCGGGAAACCGGAGCUAAUACCGGAUAAUAUAUUGAACCGCAUGGUUCAAUAGUGAAAGACGGUUUUGCUGUCACUUAUAGACGGAUCCGCGCCGCAUUAUCUAGUUGGUAAGGUAACGGCUUACCAAGCCAACGAUGCGUAGCCGACCUGAGAGGGUGAUCGGCCACACUGGAACUGAGACACGGUCCAGACUCCUACGGGAGGCAGCAGUAGGGAAUCUUCCGCGAUGGGCGAAAGCCUGACGGAGCAACGCCGCGUGAGUGAUGAAGGUCUUCGGAUCGUAAAACUCUGUUAUUAGGGAAGAACAAAUGUGUAAGUAACUAUGCACGUCUUGACGGUACCUAAGCAGAAAGCCACGGCUAACUACGUG
rnacentral:rRNA from 1 species